CCUACGGGUGGCAGCAGUGAGGAAUAUUGGUCAAUGGGCGGAAGCCUGAACCAGCCAAGUCGCGUGAGGGAUUAAGGCCCUGCGGGUCGUAAACCUCUUUUGCCGGGGAGCAGUGGUCCGGACGCGUCCGGACCGGGAGAGUACCCGGAGAAAAAGCAUCGGCUAACUCCGUGCCAGCAGCCGCGGUAAUACGGAGGAUGCGAGCGUUAUCCGGAUUGAUUGGGUUUAAAGGGUGCGUAGGCGGGCAUUUAAGCCGGCGGUCAAAUGUCGGGGCUCAACCCCGGCCUGCCGUCGAAACUGGGUGCCUUGAGUGGGCGAGAAGUAUGCGGAAUGCGUGGUGUAGCGGUGAAAUGCGUAAAUAUAUGUAAGAACACCAGUGGCGAAGGCGGCUUGCUGGGUCGAUACUGACAUUGAGGCACGAAAGCGUGGGGAGCAAACAGGAUUAGAUACCCUGGUAGUC
rnacentral:rRNA from 1 species